CGGGCAAGAACUCCCAUUAUUUUUAUCAAAUGCGGGCGCCUUGAACUUCUGUGGGAUCACAAUUCCAUCAACCAGCCCCAUAUUUGACAUAUUCACAACCCCUGGAGUGGCAUAGCUUUCGAGAUCCCUGAUCUUCUCUGCCAAUAACUGAAUUUCUUUAUUUGGCGGUUGGACACCGUAUUGACCAAACGGCUCAUUAUGCAUGGAGAAUUGAUCAGCUUCCCUGUCUUUC
rnacentral:lncRNA from 1 species